AAGGUGCUGAAGAAGGCGACGCUGAAAGUACGUGACCGCGUCCGGACCAAGAUGGAGAGAGACAUCCUGGCUGAUGUAAAUCACCCAUUCGUGGUGAAGCUGCACUAUGCCUUCCAGACCGAGGGCAAGCUCUAUCUCAUUCUGGACUUCCUGCGUGGUGGGGACCUCUUCACACGGCUCUCAAAAGAGGUGAUGUUCACGGAGGAGGAUGUGAAGUUUUACUUGGCCGAGCUGGCUCUGGGCCUGGAUCACCUGCACAGCCUGGGUAUCAUUUACAGAGACCUCAAGCCUGAGAACAUCCUUCUGGAUGAGGAGGGCCACAUCAAACUCACUGGUGAGUGGAGGGCGCCUGCCCCCUCGGGCCCCAGGGGAGGGCAGGACAAGGUCAUGAUAGUUCUCGGCUGAGUGCUGGGGGCUCAUUCUUCCCGAGAAGCUGUGCCAGUUACUUGGAAGUGGUGAAAAACUCAGGCCUCAGACUUGGAACACCCUCAGUUGGAAUCCCAGCCCCUCAUUGUGUAAUGCUGGGCAAG
rnacentral:sRNA from 1 species